UGUAAAUAAUAGCUUAAUCCUGUAAAUAUAUGGGAACGGAGGACCCGACUUUUGGGGUGAGUCCGGUUUUUAACGCCGGUAGGGUUUUAACCUUUCGGCCCGAACCCGUCAGCUAACUUCGUAGGCUUUAAAGAAAGGGGAG
rnacentral:sRNA from 2 species